AGAGUUUGAUCCUGGCUCAGGAUGAACGCUGGCGGCGUGCCUAAUACAUGCAAGUCGAGCGAACCACUUCGGUGGGAAGCGGCGAACGGGUGAGUAACACGUAGGUGAUCUGCCCAUCAGACGGGGACAACGAUUGGAAACGAUCGCUAAUACCGGAUAGGACGAAAGUUUAAAGAUGCUCCUGGCAUCACUGAUGGAUGAGCCUGCGGCGCAUUAGCUAGUUGGUGGGGUAAAGGCCUACCAAGGCGACGAUGCGUAGCCGACCUGAGAGGGUGAACGGCCACACUGGGACUGAGACACGGCCCAGACUCCUACGGGAGGCAGCAGUAGGGAAUCUUCGGCAAUGGGCGAAAGCCUGACCGAGCAACGCCGCGUGAAUGAAGAAGGCCUUCGGGUUGUAAAAUUCUGUUAUAAGGGAAGAAAGGUGAUAGGAGGAAAUGACCAUCAAUUGACGGUACCUUAUGAGAAAGCCACGGCUAACUACGUG
rnacentral:rRNA from 1 species